UGUUCAGCAGUCGCAGUAAGGAAAUUGGUAUGUCGCCAGCUCGCCACCGCCGCUUCCUCCCGACGCAGCCCUGCCUGCUCCGACGGCCGUAUGCCUCCUCCUCUCAUCGGCCCUCGAGGCCUCUCCCAUUGGUCUCGUCGCACUACGGCACCAGUGCCCUUCAACCUCCUCGACCCAUCCGCCGCCUCCUUGAUAACCAGAUCUGGGUAUAUCGUCAGGCGGCAUCGUUUCCCCGAUCUGCCUCCUCCCGCGACAGGACGAACCCUAGGUGUGUCGCCGCCGCCCUCGCCGUCCCUCGCAUGAUCGCAUCGAUCCCCUGCACCCCCACCAUGCUCGCUCAGUCCUAACAUCUCUCCUCUCUCGUGAUCUCGAUCAACCUUGGGAGAGCUUAUGUGCGCCGCCACCACCGCCUCUUAGCGGUAGGUCUCCUGCUUCUCUUGCACAUUCUCCCCAUCACACCAAUCUCCUCUGAUCCCGUUGCUCUCUCCAACUCCCUGAAAACACACUGCAUCGCCAUCUGCCCGCUACAGAGGUCAAGAACAAGGUCACUGAGGGGAGCCGCAUAUGAGUUUGCCGGGGAGAAGAUGGCGAGGAAACUCCAUCCAAGAAGGCUGGUCUGGAGGAUCCUACGCCCAGGAGACCAGGACUGUAGGACAUCAAGGGACUUCAUUGCCACACUGCAAGCGCAAAAAGGAGAAGAAGGGCAUUGUGGAUGCAGAUAAGAAGGCACAAAGGAAGAAAGGAGGCAUGCAUGUCACUAAGUUGAAAGGGCUGGAUCAGAAAAUCGAAACGCAAGAAGUGCGCAUGCAAAGAUUUUGAUUUGCUUAGCUUGUUCCAGUAACUGAUCUAUUUCUUCAAAACCAAUUGAACUGGUGAAGUUCAUGCCUUAGGAAAACGGGUUCUACGCUGAGAAAUGGCCUUCAGAUAUUGCAAAGAAGAAAUUAUUAUGUGUCCAUUGUUUCCAGGAUAUGUUUCCUCGAGAGCCCUUUUGAGCAACUUGGAUAACUGGGAGUAUAUCUGAAUUGAAUACGAUGAUCAAAAUUUAAAGAUCACGUCCAGACCAUUCCAUGUAUGCCGGCAAUGAUGAUGCUGGCUAGCAAAGUGGUUGGCCACAAAUUGCCAAGCUCUAAUGAUACUAGGCUAUAACUUGCAGCAUAUGUUAGCGGAAGCUGAUAGGUUUCCUCAUCCUGAAAUGACGCUGGCAGAACUCGGGGUGGAGGAUGAGGAUGAGACGUUUUUGAACAGCAGCCUUCCUGGCCUUCUACGCCUCCGCCGAGAUUGCCUGUAACAAAUUGUGCUGAGGAGGAGCGUGGAAGCAGUAGGGGAAGCAGUACCUCUUGAGGGACAUCUCAAUUCUCAGCAGCCAGAGACGAGGUGAUCCUGGUGAACCCUAAAAUCAUCUUUGGUGGUCUUGGGGAUUUCGUGCGUGUGGAUUUCCUUGCCUUGAAUCCAAACGAGAACGCACAUGGCCAAUGAAAGAUUUCCAUCGAAACCAUUGCCCGUCGUAUGAGAUCAACUGAUCAAGGAUGAAGCAUCGUAGGACGAUGGCAUAUGAAGUGUGUGGUGGAGUAGUGUAUUGUAUCCGUGCAUUCUAUGACCAUUUAAACUUGCAAUUUGAUAGCUGUGUAGUGUGAAAACGAAGUACAGUCGAUUGGAAAUGCACACGAUAGUUUUUCCUA